CGUCGCGUCCCGUGUAAAUGCCACGCUGGGGAGAGCGGCCUUCACGCCCGAAUGGGUCCACAGCGACGGGGAGGGUUGGCAGGUCGGUGUCGGCUAAGAGGAUCCUGGGGGUGGAGUCGUGCCCGAGGGUGGGGCGGUUGGCCCAUGAAAGUGGUACGCGGGCGGGGUUGAGAGUGGCGUGAGACAGUUCGGGCGCUAUCCGACGCAGGCGUAGGAACUUUGAGUGGACCUGUCCUUAGUACGAGAGGAGCGGGAUGGACGUACCUCUGGUGUACCAGUUGU
rnacentral:rRNA from 1 species